UUUACAACUUUCAUGCAAACUAAAUUUAGACCGUACAGUUUAUACUGUUUUUCGAAAUAUAAGAUAUUCAAGCAAAAGUUUAAAUGUUUUAAAUACUCCUUUCUCAAAACAGAACAUUUCGUGCUUAAGAUGGCCAAGACCAAUUUGAUCAGUUAAUGUGUUUUUUUUUAUGCAUAGUUCAGCAGUUGACAUAUAUAGAGCUCAGCGG
rnacentral:lncRNA from 1 species